AAGAGGUGUCAGACGGUCCUCCUGCUUCUCCUGCGCUUGCUUGCUCGCCGACUGAAAAGAUGGGAAGAGUGAAGGUGAUGAUGGUGAUGAUGGUGGUGGUGACGGUGGUGGCGGCGAUGGUGGUGGAGGAGAAAUCCCUGGAAGAAGAUGGAGGAGGAGAAAGAGAAAGAAGAUUCGCCGCCCCGUACGAAGGAGAUGGAGGAGGAGAGAGAGAAAGAAGAUUCGCCUCCCCGGCCACAACCUCCGGAAAUACUACCAGACCCGCAACCUCGCACGGUAAUGGGCGUGGCAAUGGUGGUGGUCAUGGUCGUGGUAAUCAUGGUGGUAAUGGCCGUAGGAAUGGAUAAGGCCGGACUCGGACCCAAUGAUGAAGAGUUGGUUUUGACAAGAACAUGGACUGAAUUUGGCAACAGAUAACAUUUCCUCUUCCUCUUCCUCUUCCUCUUCCUCCUCCUAUCCUUUCCAUUCUUAUUCCUUGUCCAUUCUAUAACGUUCAAACACUAACAUUAUUUUUGCCUUCUACUACUACUACUACUACUACUACUACUACUGCUACUACAACUACCAGGCAAGGAUCAAUUGGAACUCUGCACUGAGCUAACCUUGGACUUAAUUGGAUAUAAAUAACAACAAUAAUAAUAUAAAUAAUUAGGACAAAAAUGAUAAUAAAAAUAAUAAUAAUAAUAAUAAUAAUAAUAAUAAUAAUAAUAAUAAUAAUAAUAAUAAUAAUAAUAGUAAUAAUUUGAAUUUACCUGGAUUUUGAAAGUUACCUGCUUCGUACCUUUG